rnacentral:rRNA from 1 species
CCUACGGGUGGCAGCAGUGAGGAAUAUUGGUCAAUGGGCGGGAGCCUGAACCAGCCAAGCCGCGUGAAGGAAGAAGGCGCCAGGCGUCGUAAACUUCUUUUGUCGGGGAACAAAGGGCGCCACGCGUGGCGUUGUGAGUGUACCCGAAGAAAAAGCAUCGGCUAACUCCGUGCCAGCAGCAGCGGUAAUCCGGAGGAUGCGGGCGUUAUCCGGAUUUAGUGGGUUUAAAGGGUGCGUAGGCGGUCCGGAAAGUCCGCGGUCAAGGCCAGGGGUUAAACCCCGGCGAGCCGGUGACACUGUCAGACUAGAGACGGCGAGAAGUACGCGGAAUGCGCGGUGUAGCGGUGAAAUGCAUAGAUAUCGCGCAGAACUCCGAUUGCGAAGGAAGCGUACCGGCGCCGGACUGACGCUGAGGCACGAAAGCGUGGGGAUCGAACAGGAUUAGAUACCCCUGUAGUC